rnacentral:sRNA from 1 species
CGCCGGCGGGGGAGCUGAUCCAGCCGUCGGUGAGCGAGCUGUCCCGGGCCGUGCGGACCAACAUCCUGUGCACCGUGCGCGGCUGCGGCAAGAUCCUGCCCAACAGCCCCGCGCUCAACAUGCACCUGGUCAAGAGCCACCGCCUGCAGGAUGGCAUAGUCAAUCCAACAAUAAGAAAAGAUUUGAAAACUGGACCGAAAUUCUACUGCUGUCCAAUUGAAGGCUGCCCCAGAGGCCCUGAGAGACCAUUUUCUCAGUUUUCUCUCGUAAAACAGGUACUCUCUACUUCUCUGAGGAUGAGAUACAGAUGCUAUAAACCUAUUGUGCAUUCUGAUUACUUAGCAGACAUAACUAAGAAUCGAGUAGACAGCUGCUUGUGAGAGGAGAUGCCUGCGUGUCUCCCAGUUGGUAUAAACCUGAGUAUGCUGUCACACAAGUGGAGGGAAAAGCGGCACGGUCUGGAGGGAAUAUGUCUAGAAAUGAGUUAAAAUACAGAGAGAGAGAGUA